ensembl:rRNA 5S_rRNA 5S ribosomal RNA
UUAUGUAAUCGGGCACCCUGAACGUGCCCGAUCUUGUCUGACCUCGGAAGCUAAGCAGGGUCAGGCCUGGUCAGUACUUAGAUGAGAGAUCACCUCAGAAUACCAGGUGUUGUAGGCA